AAAGCCAACCUUUGAUUUAUAGACCAAUAACACAUUCUUGAUUUAAGGCACCAUAAUCAUAGCAAUUGUGGAAAUAAACACCACUACAUACUUGGAAUGCCAACGGGGUCUGGUUUAUAAACAAGCCACAGCUCUGUUCUCGCUGAAUGGAUCCGUCCAGGCUUCCAGUGCAGGAGACCACAUAAGCUCUGAAAAGAUCUCCACAGCUAUGGCCUGGGACUGUGUGAGGUAGAGAGGAUCUUACUGACUUCCAUUUCAACUCCAUGUGAGUUAAUGGGGACAAACUUCACUAAAUCCACUUUUAGAGCUGAAAAGGGAACUGGAUUAGACCAGUGCGCCUGACCCCCAGCCCUCCUGGCCAUAGCAGUCGAGUCAUGGAUAAUUAUAGAACCCAGCUGGAACAAAGUCUUCCACAUGGAUUUUGCUGAUCUGGUGAGUAAAGGUCUUGCACUAUUAAAAGUACAGUAACUACUGCUGCCUGCCUCUCAAGCGCAAGGCCCCGAGUUCAAUCCCCGGUACCCCCCCCAAAAAAUACAGUAACUACUACUAUUAAAAGGCUAUGUUGGACCUGAGAAUUUAGCUCCAUGUUAGAACAUUUGCCUAGCAUGCACAAGGCCCUGAUUUCUACUUCCAAACCUGCAAAAAAGAUACUAUUAUCACUACAAUUAUGACUACUAAAAUUAUAUAACUAU
rnacentral:lncRNA from 1 species